UACGGAGGGUGCAAGCGUUAAUCGGAAUUACUGGGCGUAAAGCGCACGCAGGCGGUUUGUUAAGCGAGAUGUGAAAUCCCCGGGCUCAACCUGGGAAUUGCAUUUCGAACUGACAAACUAGAGUACGAGAGAGGGGGGUAGAAUUCCAGGUGUAGCGGUGAAAUGCGUAGAUAUCUGGAGGAAUACCAAUGGCGAAGGCAGCCCCCUGGUUCGAUACUGACGCUGAGGUGCGAAGGCGUGGGGAGCAAAC
rnacentral:rRNA from 1 species